UACGUAGGGUGCGAGCGUUAAUCGGAAUUACUGGGCGUAAAGCGUGCGCAGGCGGUUCGCUGUGUCCUGUGUGAAAGCCCCGGGCUUAACCUGGGAAUGGCAUGGGAAACUGGCGGGCUGGAGUGUGGCAGAGGGGGGUGGAAUUCCGCGUGUAGCAGUGAAAUGCGUAGAGAUGCGGAGGAACACCGAUGGCGAAGGCAGCCCCCUGGGCUAACACUGACGCUCAGGCACGAAAGCGUGGGUAGCAAACAGG
rnacentral:rRNA from 1 species